rnacentral:snoRNA from 1 species
GCUGUUACCUGUGCAUGUUAAUGAUGGUUUACCAUUGUUCUGACUGCCAGAAAAAAAUACUGGUUCUGUGACUGCCUUGACCUUAGGUAGGGGGUGAUACAGUUACCCAUGGACACAGGG